rnacentral:rRNA from 1 species
ACGAACGCUGGCGGCGUGGAUAAGACAUGCAAGUCGAACGGGAGAAUUGCUAGCUUGCUAAUAAUUCUCUAGUGGCGCACGGGUGAGUAACACGUGAGUAACCUGCCUCUUAGUGGGGGAUAGCCCUGGGAAACCGGGAUUAAUACCGCAUACGAUUGAAAGAUCAAAGCAGCAAUGCGCUAGGAGAUGGGCUCGCGGCCUAUUAGUUAGUUGGUGAGGUAACGGCUCACCAAGGCGAUGACGGGUAGCCGGUCUGAGAGGAUGUCCGGCCACACUGGAACUGAGACACGGUCCAGACACCUACGGGUGGCAGCAGUCGAGAAUCAUUCACAAUGGGGGCAACCCUGAUGGUGCGACGCCGCGUGGGGGAAUGAAGGUCUUCGGAUUGUAAACCCCUGUCAUGUGGGAGCAAAUUAAAAAGAUAGUACCACAAGAGGAAGAGACGGCUAACUCUGUGCCAGCAGCCGCGGUAAUACAGAGGUCUCAAGCGUUGUUCGGAAUCACUGGGCGUAAAGCGUGCGUAGGCUGUUUCGUAAGUCGUGUGUGAAAGGCAGGGGCUCAACCCCUGGAUUGCACAUGAUACUGCGAGACUAGAGUAAUGGAGGGGGAAGCGGAAUUCUCGGUGUAGCAGUGAAAUGCGUAGAUAUCGAGAGGAACACUCGUGGCGAAGGCGGGUUCCUGGACAUUAACUGACGCUGAGGCACGAAGGCCAGGGGAGCGAAAGGGAUUAGAUACCCCUGUAGUCCUGGCAGUAAACGGUGCACGCUUGGUGUGCGGGGAAUCGACCCCCUGCGUGCCGGAGCUAACGCGUUAAGCGUGCCGCCUGGGGAGUACGGUCGCAAGAUUAAAACUCAAAGAAAUUGACGGGGACCCGCACAAGCGGUGGAGUAUGUGGCUUAAUUCGAUGCAACGCGAAGAACCUUACCUGGGCUUGACAUGUAAUGAACAACAUGUGAAAGCAUGCGACUCUUCGGAGGCGUUACACAGGUGCUGCAUGGCCGUCGUCAGCUCGUGUCGUGAGAUGUUUGGUUAAGUCCAGCAACGAGCGCAACCCCUGUUGCCAGUUACCAGCACGUCAAGGUGGGGACUCUGGCGAGACUGCCCAGAUCAACUGGGAGGAAGGUGGGGACGACGUCAGGUCAGUAUGGCCCUUAUGCCCAGGGCUGCACACGUACUACAAUGCCCAGUACAGAGGGGGCCGAAGCCGCGAGGCGGAGGAAAUCCUGAAAACUGGGCCCAGUUCGGACUGUAGGCUGCAACCCGCCUACACGAAGCCGGAAUCGCUAGUAAUGGCGCAUCAGCUACGGCGCCGUGAAUACGUUCCCGGGUCUUGUACACACCGCCCGUCACAUCAUGGAAGCCGGUCGCACCCGAAGUAUCUGAAGCCAACCGCAAGGAGGCAGGGUCCUAAGGUGAGACUGGUAACUGGGAUG